CGACGAUCAGUAACCGGCCUGAGAGGGUGAACGGUCACAUUGGAACUGAGACACGGUCCAAACUCCUACGGGAGGCAGCAGUGGGGAAUCUUGCACAAUGGGGGCAACCCUGAUGCAGCGACGCCGCGUGAGCGAUGAAGGUUUUCGAAUCGUAAAGCUCUGUCCUAUGGGAAGAUAAUGACGGUACCAUGGGAGGAAGCCCCGGCUAACUACGUGCCAGCAGCCGCGGUAAUACGUAGGGGGCGAGCGUUGUCCGGAAUUACUGGGCGUAAAGGGUUCGCAGGCGGCAUGGCAAGUCCGAUGUAAAAGGCGAAGGCUCAACCUUCGUAAGCAUCGGAAACUGUCAAGCUUGAGUGAAGGAGAGGCAAGUGGAAUUCCUAGUGUAGCGGUGGAAUGCGUAGAUAUUAGGAGGAAUACCGGUGGCGAAGGCGACUUGCUGGACUUCAACUGACGCUGAGGAACGAAAGCGUGGGUAGCAAACAGGAUUAGAUACCCUGGUAGUCCACGCCGUAAACGAUGAGUGCUAGGUGUCGGGGGUCAUACCUCGGUGCCGCCGUUAACACAAUAAGCACUCCGCCUGGGGAGUACGUGCGCAAGCAUGAAACUCAAAGGAAUUGACGGGGACCCGCACAAGCAGCGGAGCAUGUGGUUUAAGGGUUAAGUCCCGCAACGAGCGCAACCCUUACUUUUAGUUGCCAGCACGUAAUGGUGGGAACUCUAAAGGGACUGCCGAUGAUAAAUCGGAGGAAGGUGGGGAUGACGUCAAAUCAUCAUGCCCUUUAUGUCCUGGGCUACACACGUGCUACAAUGGUCGGUACAGAGGGCAGCGAAAGAGCGAUCUCAAGCGAAUCUCAAAAAACCGAUCCCAGUUCGGAUUGCAGGCUGCAACUCGCCUGCAUGAAGUCGGAGUUGCUAGUAAUCGCAGAUCAGAAUGCUGCGGUGAAUGCGUUCCCGGGUCUUGUACACACCGCCCGUCACACCAUGGGAGUUGGCAAUACCCGAAGCCGGCGAGCUAACCGCAAGGAGGCAGCCGUCGAAGGUAGGGUUAAUGACUGGGGUGAAGUCGUAACAAGGUAGCCGUAUCGGAAGGUGCGGCUG
rnacentral:rRNA from 1 species